rnacentral:rRNA from 1 species
CCCUUAGAUGUUCUGGGCCGCACGCGCGCUACACUGAUGCAUUCAACGAGUCUAAAACCUGCUCUGAUAGGGGUGGGUAAUCUUUUGAAUGUGCAUCGUGAUUGGGAUAGAUGAUUGCAAUUUUUCAUCUUCAACGAGGAAUGCCUAGUAAACGCAAGUCAUCAGCUUGCAUUGAUUACGUCCCUGCCCUUUGUACACACCGCCCGUCGCUCCUACCGAUUGAAUGAUACGAUGAAUAUCAUGGAUUGAGGAUGCAAGCAGGUUCGCCUGUCUUCAUCUUCGAGAAGUGAAGUAAAUCUUAUCAUUUAGAGGAAGGAGAAGUCGUAACA